GACGAACGCUGGCGGCGUGCUUAACACAUGCAAGUCGAGCGGAAAGGCCCUUCGGGGUACUCGAGCGGCGAACGGGUGAGUAACACGUGAGUAAUCUGCCCUUGGCUUUGGGAUAACUACCGGAAACGGUGGCUAAUACCGGAUACGACAACCGUCUGCAUGGGCUGGUUGUGGAAAGUUUUUUCGGCCAGGGAUGUGCUCGUGGCCUAUCAGCUUGUUGGUGGGGUAAUGGCCUACCAAGGCUUCGACGGGUAGCCGGCCUGAGAGGGUGACCGGCCACACUGGGACUGAGACACGGCCCAGACUCCUACGGGAGGCAGCAGUGGGGAAUAUUGGACAAUGGGCGGAAGCCUGAUCCAGCAACGCCGCGUGAGGGAUGACGGCCUUCGGGUUGUAAACCUCUUUCAGUACCGACGAAGCGCCGAUGAUGGUGGUGACGGUAGGUACAGAAGAAGCACCGGCCAACUACGUG
rnacentral:rRNA from 1 species